CCCAGUAGCUCAGGGGGGAGCUCCUCUUAUCCUGCCUGGGAAAAGCCUCUGGAGCUGCCGCCAGCCAGCCAGGAAGGGGCAGUGGAGAUCCUGCUUCAGCCCCACGUGGGGGUGAAGAGGCUCAGAAGGAGCACAGAUUCCAAAGGAUUGGCAGCAUGAUUUUUGGGUUCAGUGAUCCUCAGCCUGUGGAUCCCAAGUUGUACCAUAGCUACAGAUGGGGAGCUCUUCUCUCGAUUUGAGCAAGAUUUCUGUGCGCUGUAGCGAUUGCCUUGAGGAAACAAGGAUAUAAUCAUCACCAUUGUACAGAGCUGUCAGGAUGAAGCUGGAAUUUAUGGUGUUGGAGUUUCUUGGCGAAGAUGAGGAUGGAGAAAGAUCUCCUGGGUCAUCUAUGAGGCACUCAAAUAGUAUCAUGAUGGGGCCCAUGUAAACAGGUAGACAGAGAUCUCUAGCGCAGUCGUUUCCAACCAAUGCUAGUCCAGGGUCUUGUUGCACUAGAUCGCCCCUCACUUUCUCAAUUAUGAGUUUCUUUGCGGGGCACUGUUGUAGCACCUUUCCUUGCUGGGCAAGUUCACAUUGCUGAAGAAGUCUUGAAACUUGGGGUUUCUUGUUGUGUGAAGCCAAGCACUUCACAAGUGGUGUUCAUAAUGUUUGGUUGGCUUUUGCAUGUAUUCUAAGAGCUCCUUUGACAUACGGGUGAUUUGUUGGUGGCUUUUUUUUCUUUCAUUUUGCUCGUUCAGCGAUGUUUGUAAGCCAUCUCUGAGUUGGGUAUGGGAAAGCAAUGGGGAGUUGUUUCAAACAGAAAUGAAAAAAAGGUGCUUUUGCUUCAGAAAGGCUUGAGAAGAGAAGUCCUAUUUCUCAGAGCCCUGUCUAAUUAAAAUAAAAAUGCCAAUGAUCAGAAUCUUGUGCCGUGGGGAAGUUGCAACUACACCCAGAGACUGCGUAUCUAUUGCCUUUACAAGAGAGAGUGUUCUGUGUUAAGGUGGGACAUUAAAGUCAGCUCCUGCUGUGCAGAAAACAGGCUGAAUCAAGCCAGGCAUAUGGGCUCACUAAUCUGGUUUGUACUAUUUCUCUCUCCACCCUAGUACACGACCUUUAGAAACUUGGACUGAUAUCCUAUAGGACUAAAAUGCCAACACAAUUUUUGAGCAAAAUUUAGAAUUCUUUUAGGGACAGCAGUAAGAGUAUCAUUAUACUAAGAUACAGUACCCACUCAUUUCAUUGUGUAUUUCAAUGUUUACGUGAAUGUAUUGCUCAUGAAAAGUGCCAGACUACAGCUUUGGACAUCGAAGUCUUUUAUUUAUCCAUAUCCAGGCCAGGUCCUCAGCUGGAUUUUGGCUUCAGUAGACCUUUGCCAAUUUGCAGAUCACAAGCAUCUGUCCCACCAAGUACUGUUUGGAAAGCAUCAGUACAAAUUUCCCCACGUUGCUCUGCUAAUAUGCUUCAACCCUUCUUUUAGCAGUAAGUGCGUAACUUGGUCCCCAUGGCCCAAUCAAUCCUUUGUUCCCCUUCUAAGGAAUCAAUUAGUACCUACUUUUCAGGUGUAGGUCUCACUGUAGUUCCCAGUGGACAAAUGCUAUCCACUUAUUACACCCAGGGGCCACCAGUCACUAGAUGGUAUCCAGUUUCAGUCACUCCUGAGCCGGGCUGGAUUUGAACAGCAGCAAUCCCAUCACUCUAAAUCCCAUUCCGAAUCCCCACUUCUUUCCAGUUCCCCAAAAGAUUUCUUUUAAAUAAGUUAUCUGGGGGGGAAGAGGGAAAUAAUGAUUUAAAGGGGCAAAUAGAAGGAAGUUUUCUUUGUCAAUGUGUGGUUCACUUUUUAUCUCCAAGUGAAAAGUCCAGCUUUGAUUCUCUAGAGUGAAUCUAGGCCCCAUUGAAGUAAAAGGAAAGACUCUCAUUGCCUUCAGUUGAGCCAGGAUUUCACCCCUAAUUCGAAUGAUAUAUCAUCCUUUUCUUUUGCUUCUGGGAAGGAAAAAAAUAAUAAUUCAGCCAUCCAGCUUUUUUCAGACCUAGCAGUUCAGGAGGGCAAAAGCGAGGGUUGCAAUCUGAGGGCAAACUGCCUUUUUAGAGACAUCCCAACUUGAAUACAAAGCCGGGAGAUGAAAUCCUCUGUGAAAUGAAAGAGCUGCACCCGCUGAUGGGCCAAAAUGAGACACCAUCUAGGAGGAUAAAAGAAAACAACAACAAAAAACUUUCCUCUCCAGCCUGGCCUCCCGCUGAGAAACUGAGAUAGUGAGAGAACCGCUUCCCUGAAAUAUACCGGUUUUGCUGUAAUACGAUAAUGCUGGGGCAGCAGAGUGUAAAGAAAUGA